GGGCACAUGGAGUGCUAUGGGCCAGCACCGGCCCCAUAGCAGCCCCUGCCCCACAGCGGCACCCCUCCCUAUGGCACCCCAUGGUGGUGGGGUGGCUGCUGUGGGGUAGGGGGUGCUGUGGGUCCGAUGCUGCUAUGGGGCAGGUGGUGCCAUGGGGUGGCGCUAUGGGGUGGGCUGCUGCUGUGGGGCUGAGGCAGCUGUGGGGCAGGUGGUGCCAUAGGGUGGUGCCAUGGGGUGGGUUGCUGCUAUGGGGCAGGGGCUGCAAUGGGGCAGGUGGUGCCAUGGGGUGGCGCUAUGGGGUGGAGUGCUGCUGUGGGGCAGGGGCUGCUGUGGGUCAGAUGCUGCUAUGGGGCAGGGGGUGCCAUAGGGUGGGGUGCCCUAUGGGGAAGGGGCUGCUAUGGGGCCGGUGCUGCCCCAUUGAACUCCAUGUUACCGCAUAGCACUCCAUAUUACCCCAUAGCGCUCCAUAUUACCCCAUAGCGCUCCAUAUUACCCCAUAGCGCUCCAUGUGACCCCAUAGCGCUCCAUAUCACACCAUAGCACUCCAUAUAACCCCAUAGCGC
ensembl:lncRNA